rnacentral:rRNA from 1 species
UACGUAGGCAGCAAGCGUUGUUCGGAAUUACUGGGCGUAAAGAGUGUGUAGGCGGUGCUCUAAGUUCGGUGUGAAAUCUCCCGGCUCAACUGGGAGGGUGCGCCGGAAACUGGAGUGCUGGAGCGCGGGAGAGGAAAGCGGAAUUCCUUGGUGUAGCGGUGAAAUGCGUAGAUAUCAGGAGGAACACCGGCGGUGUAGACGGCUUUCUGGACCGUAGCUGACGCUGAGACACGAAAGACGUGGGUAGCAAACAGG